rnacentral:rRNA from 1 species
GCCAAACAGCUAGCUUAUUCACCAAUAAAAAUUUUCACCAUAAACAAAAAAUUAACCUAAAACCAUAAAUUAAAACAUUUUUAUCCACAGUAUGGGAGACAGAAAAGGCUCAACCUAAAGCAAUAGAUAAAGUACCGCAAGGGAACGCUGAAAGAGAAAUGAAAUAACCCAUAUAAGCUCAAAAAAUCAAAGACUAAAACUUGUACCUUUUGCAUCAUGAUUUAGCCAGUACCCCCAAGCAAAGAGACCUUUAGUUUGAAACCCCGAAACCGAGUGAGCUACCUCGAGACAGCCUAUAAAAAUUAGGGCAAACCCAUCUCUGUGGCAAAAGACUGGGAAGAUCUCCAGGUAGGGGUGAUAGACCUAUCGAACCCGGUAAUAGCUGGUUGCCUAGGAAACGAAUAUAAGUUCAGCCUCGUACCCCUCACAUCAAACACAUAAGAUACAAUUGAGCGAACCACGAGAGUUAGUUUAAGGAGGUACAGCCCCUUAAACAAAGGAUACAACCUUAACAGGAGAAUAAAGAUUAUAAUAAUUAAAACAAACUGUCUCAGUGGGCCUAAAAGCAGCCACCUAAACAGAAAGCGUUAAAGCUCGGACAAAAAAGGUUUAUUAUAACAAUAAAAAAUCUCACUUCCCUUAAUAUACUAGGCUAUUCCAUGCAAACAUGGAAGAAAUUAUGCUAAAAUGAGUAACAAGAAGAACACGCCCUUCUCCAAGCACAAGUGUAAGUCAGAUCGGACCAACCACUGAUAUUUAACGAACCCAACCAAAGAGGGUAAUAUGAACAACAGGAAAACCAAGAAAAUCCCAUAACUCAACAAUCGUUAUCCCCACACUGGAGUGCACCAAAGGAAAGACUAAAAGAAAAGAAAGGAACUCGGCAAACCCAAGCCUCGCCUGUUUACCAAAAACAUCGCCUCUUGCAAAACAUGUAUAAGAGGUCCAGCCUGCCCAGUGACUACUAGUUUAACGGCCGCGGUAUUCUGACCGUGCAAAGGUAGCGCAAUCACUUGUCCUUUAAAUAAGGACCUGUAUGAAUGGCUAAACGAGGGCUUAGCUGUCUCCCUUUUCCAGUCAGUGAAAUUGAUCUAUCCGUGCAGAAGCGGGUAUGAAGAUACAAGACGAGAAGACCCUUUGGAGCUUAAGGUACAAGACUCACCCAUGUUAAACAAGCCUUUAAAGCAGCAAACCUAGUGAGAGAUGAGACCUUACCUUCGGUUGGGGCGACCACGGAGGAAAACCCAGCCUCCAAGUGGAUUGGAUAAUAUCCAAAACCAAGACACACACUUCUAAGUAACAGAACAUCUGACCAAAAAUGACCCGGCCACAAAAGCCGAUUAACGAACCAAGUUACCCAAGGGAUAACAGCGCAAUCCUCUUCCAGAGUUCAUAUCGACGAGGGGGUUUACGACCUCGAUGUUGGAUCAGGACAUCCUAAUGGUGCAGCCGCUAUUAAGGGUUCGUUUGUUCAACGAUUAAAGUCCUACGUGAUCUGAGUUCAGACCGGAGCAAUCCAGGUCAGUUUCUAUCUGUAACGCUACUUUUCCUAGUACGAAAGGAUCGGAAAAAGGGGGCCAAUACCCAAAGCACGCCCCACCCCAAAUUAAUGAAUAAAAAUUAAUUAAAUAAAGGAGAGCAUAACAAACUCCUAAACAAGGAGUU